UGCAGCGGCUGAGGUGUCCCCAGCCAGUGUUGCUGCCGCCCAUCCACAAACAUGGGGAACAUCUUUGCCAACCUCUUCAAGGGCCUUUUUGGCAAAAAGAAAUGUGCAUCCUCAUGGUGGGGCUGAACACUGCAGGGAAGACGACAAUCCUAUACGAGCUGAAGCUGGGUGAGAUCGUGACCACCAUUCCCACCAUAGGCUUUAACGUGGAGACUGUGGAGUACAAGAACAUCAGCUUCACUGUGUGGGACGUGGGCGGCCAGGACAAGAUCCGGCCUCUGUGGCGCCACUAUUUCCAGAACACACAAGGCCUGAUCUUCGUGGUGGACAGCAAUGACCGAGAGCAUGUAAACGAGGUCCAUGAGGAGCUCAUGCGGAUGCUGGCUGAGGAUGAGCUCAGGGACGCAGUUCUCUUGGUGUUUGCCAACAAGCAGGACCUGUCCAACGCCAUGAAUGCAGCCCAGAUCACAAACAAGCUGGGGCUGCACUCCCUUCGCCACAGGAACUGGUACAUUCAGGCCACCUGCGCCACCAGAGGAUGGGCUCUAUAAAGGACUAGACAGGCUGUCCAGUCAGCUCCAGAACCAGAAGUGAACGCGACACACCCUGGCCCCCCACUCCACCCUCCGCUUCACUCUCCUGUGGCAAACGUGCGACUCUUUGGUAUGAGUGCCAGAAGCUGUCUCCAUGGUUUGGUCACAGUGUGCAUCGCACCAUGCUGUAAAUGUGGCAGACGCAACCUGCAACCAGGUUUUUUAUUUAAUAUAAAUGGUUUUUGUUUCCAAUGAGGCAGUUUCUGGUACUCCUAUGCAAUAUUACUCAACUUUUUUUAUUGUAAAAAGGAACUCACUGUUCUGUGCUGAGAGGGGUUUAGGGCUGCAGGCACCUGGCCAUCAGGAGCCACUGUGGGAGCUGGGCCUUCCUAUCUGGAGGGUUGUGUUGAGAUUUAUGCUGGUGGUUGGUUUUUAACCCA